GUAAAAGGAGGAUCGACUAAUGUCGCCACGUCCUGUGGCAAUGUCGAUCGACCCUACGUCGUGUAGA
rnacentral:sRNA from 1 species